rnacentral:lncRNA from 1 species
GUUCGACCUUUAAAAGUUUAAAAAACAUUUUUCAUCGAACCUGGUAGCAUGCAUGCUCAUAGGGUGUUGUUCUUUCGAGCUUUGAAGUUUGGAUUCAAAAAAAUUGAUGUCGUUCAGUUGUUCUUGACAAAUAACAGAGGAUCAACAUUAGUUUUGUUAGGUCAUUUGUCUCAAGUAGGUUUCGAGUCUUGAUUUGGUAAGUUCCCCCCC